rnacentral:lncRNA from 1 species
GCCUUGACGGGAACUCCAAAAUUAACUUUUUUUGUGUGUACAGGUCUGUGAACUUGAAUAUAGGUGUAUAUUUAUGUAACCACAACCGGGAUAUAGGACAGCUCUGUCACUGCAGAAGACUUCCUCAAGCUGUCCUUUACUUACCUCCUCCCACUCUUCGCUGGCAGCUACUGAGUGCUUCACUUGCUGUCUUUUCUAGAAUGUUAUGUAAGUGAAAUCAUGUAACAUGUAGUCUUUUGAGACUGGUCAGCCAAGUUGCGUGAAAGAGUCAUAAAACGUUGUAUCAAGGAGUUCCCGUCGUGGCGCAUGGUUAACGAAUCCGACUAGGAACCAUGAGGUUGCAGGUUCGGUCCCUGCCCUUGCUCAGUGGGUUAAGAAUCUGGCGUUGCCGUGAGCUGUGGUGUAGGUUGCAGACGCGGCUCGGAUCCCGCGUUGCUGUGGCUCUGGAGUAGGCCGGUGGCUACAGCUCCGAUUAGACCCCUAGCCUGGGAACCUCCAUAUGCCGCGGGAGCGGCCCAAGAAAUAGCAAAAAAAUAAAUAAAUAAAUAAAUAAAAAUAAAGACAUUAAUUUUGAAACACUAUUUCUCACAAUAAAUGGUGGUCCAAAUUUUUGCUUACAGAAUUGUGGUUGACUCACGGUUUUUUGUGUGAAAGUGAAAUAACUGAUGAAAUUUAUAGGGGAAAACUACUUCCCCCAGUUAAUAUGUGUAUAUAUCAACUUGUUUUUCUUUGUGGAGAUGGUUGACCAUUGGUAGGGGAGGUUCCUGGUUUUAGUUUUUAUUAAACAUCUGCAGAGUUGCAGCAGGGUCCUGAUUUGAAAAAGGUGGCUGUUUCAACAUUAUUAAUUUCUAAAAUGUAGUCUGAAGAUAGGAUAACAGCUGGCCGCUUUGCCCAGGACUUCUCCAGGUUAACUCUGAAAGCCUGGCUGCUCCAGGAAAUAUAGGAUAUAAAAGAGGCAUAAUGAAGAAAACUUGAGGAUUCCAGUUCAUCAGGUAUUAAGAGUGAAUUAUCAGCCAAGUAUUUGUUACUGGUUUGUUGCCCUCUUUAAGUCUUCAUUUGAAUGAGUUUAAGAAGCACUCUAGUCUGUAUUUUUUUGUUAGCAAUAUUGUAAAAAAUUGUGGUAAGCAAAUUUGCAAGUUUCAUGUGUAGGAGCUCAAUUAAGUCAAGUUUAUACUUACAAUCUCUUUUGAGUUUUGCAGUUCAGAUAAUACUAUCUAAAUCUGAGGUAAAUUUUAAGUUUUUGUUGAAUUAGCUACUGGGUUCCCCGUUCUGAUUUUUUUUUCAUGCCAUCUCUUCUAUAGAUUUCUUUAUAGGACAUCUCUAUAAGCAGAUUACUUAUAAGCCGUUAGCUGCCGUCCUCAGUAGACUGUAAACUUCACGGAGGUAGAGAGGCCUUUAAUGUCGCUGUAUCUUGGAGCCUGGAAGAGCACAUUCUGUGGAUGAGUACUUGCUGAAUUGCAUGAAAAAAUGAUUGCUUCUGUGAGUAGGUUUUUAGUCCUCAGUGCUUUCCAGCCUAUUACAAAUUUUGGGGAUGUAGAAACAUUUUGUUUGUUUUAAAAGAAAUAUUUAAAUCUACGUUUUUUUUCAAAUUGUGCAGGAGUGAAAAUAUAGUCUAUUUGUUAACCCUCUGUGAGUGAAGCUCCCUCAAGGAAUGGGAAUUUGGACCUUAAUUCUUAAAAUGGCAAUUCUGAAGCAGUGGAGAGAGCCCUUAAAAAAAAAAAAAAAAAAAAAAAAAAAA